GACGAACGCUGGCGGCGUGCUUAACACAUGCAAGUCGAACGGAAAGGCCCUGCUUGCCGGGUGCUCGAGUGGCGAACGGGUGAGUAACACGUGGGUGAUCUGCCCCUUACUUUGGGAUAAGCCUGGUAAACUGGGUCUAAUACUGGAUAGGACCAUGCUGUAGGUGGUGUGGUGGAAAGAUUAGUUUCGGUAAGGGAUGAGCUCGCGGCCUAUCAGCUUGUUGGUGGGGUAAUGGCCUACCAAGGCGUCGACGGGUAGCCGGCCUGAGAGGGUGGACGGCCACAUUGGGACUGAGAUACGGCCCAGAAUCCUACGGGAGGCAGCAGUGGGGAAUAUUGCACAAUGGGCGCAAGCCUGAUGCAGCGACGCCGCGUGGGGGAUGACGGCCUUCGGGUUGUAAACUCCUUUCAGCCAUGACGAAGCCCUUGUGGUGACGGUAGUGGUAGAAGAAGCACCGGCUAACUACGUG
rnacentral:rRNA from 1 species